AUUGAACGCUGGCGGCAGGCCUAACACAUGCAAGUCGAGCGAGCGGCGGACGGGUGAGUAGUGUAUGGGGACCUGCCCGAUAGAGGGGGAUAACUACUGGAAACGGUGGCUAAUACCGCAUAAGAUCGGUUGGGCCCAUAUGGGAGUAGCUAGUAGGUGGGGUAAAGGCUAACCUAGGCGACGAUCUCUAGCUGGUCUGAGAGGAUGAUCAGCCACACUGGGACUGAGACACGGCCCAGACUCCUACGGGAGGCAGCAGUGGGGAAUAUUGCACAAUGGGCGCAAGCCUGAUGCAGCCAUGCCGCGUGUAUGAAGAAGGCCUUCGGGUUGUAAAGUACUUUCAGCGGGGAGGCGUUACCCGCAGAAGAAGCACCGGCUAACUCCGUGCCAGCAGCCGCGGUAAUUC
rnacentral:rRNA from 1 species